GGGGACUUAGCUCAGCAGGUUAGAGCGCUACGCUCACAUCGUAGAGGUCGUAGGUUCGAGUCCUAUAGUCCCCACCA
rnacentral:tRNA from 2 species